rnacentral:sRNA from 1 species
CAGGGGAUUGCAGUGGCAAAGCUAGGCUAGGUCUUGGAGGCUGGUGUAAGGCGAUGCGGGUGAAGGCAGGAGGCUGAUGGAGAGACUGGGGGGAAGAAAAGCCGAAAUGGAUUCACGGUGCCUUGGAUGAAGGACGAGAGGGGAACUGCAAGCUCCUUCAACUGGUUCUGUCCGGUGAGAAGUGAUCAAGCUUGGGCUGACAAGAGGCUCAGGGAGCCCUCACGUUCUUUCGCUUUUUUACCUGCCAAUCAAACUGCUACAAGACAACACCCUGAUCUGGCAUGGACAUCGCGGGUCCAAGCCUGUAGCCCCAAAUCGGAUAAUCUCUGCAGCUGAUAACAAGCAAAAGAGAAGCCAGGCAACAGCCAUAUUAAAGAAGAAAACAGUCAACUCUGAGUCAUUACAGUCACCUGGAGUCACGGAAAUGACCAUGAUUGCCUGAACUUUCAUGACUUCUGUGGAUAACUGUGGUUGCAGAAAAGAGAAAACCUGGACCGUGAGGGACAUUUCACUCCCUGGGCUUUGGUACAUGGCCUCCCUACAGCGUUGGCUCAGCUCUAGCUACUUGGAAGGUCGUGGCAAUGCUGUCUCAGAAUGUCCAUUUCUAGAGUACAGAGAAGAAAUUCUAGCUUGACGUCCACGUGCAUUUGUCUGUGUUUCAGAGGAAAUUCCAAUUCUAAACUCUUGGAAGAAACAAUUUCUCGGCAUGCUGAAGAGAAUUGCUGUUUUUUGGCACCCGAAACACUUUUACCCGAGGGUUCUGAUUAUUUAAAUAAUUGGUAUGCUAUAACU